rnacentral:rRNA from 1 species
GACGAACGCUGGCGGCGUGCUUAACACAUGCAAGUCGAACGGAAAGGCCCUGCUUUUGUGGGGUGCUCGAGUGGCGAACGGGUGAGUAACACGUGAGUAACCUGCCCUUGACUUUGGGAUAACUUCAGGAAACUGGGGCUAAUACCGGAUAGGAGCUCCUGCUGCAUGGUGGGGGUUGGAAAGUUUCGGCGGUUGGGGAUGGACUCGCGGCUUAUCAGCUUGUUGGUGGGGUAGUGGCUUACCAAGGCUUUGACGGGUAGCCGGCCUGAGAGGGUGACCGGGCACAUUGGGACUGAGAUACGGCCCAGAAUCCUAAGGGGGGCAGGAGUGGGGAAUAUUGCACAAUGGGCGGAAGCCUGAUGCAGCAACGCCGCGUGCGGGAUGACGGCCUUCGGGUUGUAAACCGCUUUCGCCUGUGACGAAGCGUGAGUGACGGUAAUGGGUAAAGAAGCACCGGCUAACUACGUG